UGGGGAAUAUUGCACAAUGGGCGCAAGCCUGAUGCAGCCAUGCCGCGUGUAUGAAGAAGGCCUUCGGGUUGUAAAGUACUUUCAGCGAGGAGGAAGGCGUUGUGGUUAAUAACCGCAACGAUUGACGUUACUCGCAGAAGAAGCACCGGCUAACUCCGUGCCAGCAGCCGCGGUAAUACGGAGGGUACAAGCGUUAAUAGGAAUUACUGGGCGUAAAGCGCACGCAGGCGGUCUGUCAAGUCGGAUGUGAAAUCCCCGGGCUCAACCUGGGAACUGCAUCCGAAACUGGCAGGCUAGAGUCUUGUAGAGGGGGGUAGAAUUCCAGGUGUAGCGGUGAAAUGCGUAGAGAUCUGGAGGAAUACCGGUGGCGAAGGCGGCCCCCUGGACAAAGACUGACGCUCAGGUGCGAAAGCGUGGGGAGCAAACA
rnacentral:rRNA from 1 species